CUAUUAAGCUACACAACUUUCUAGUAAAUUGAAAACUAAUUUAAAACUAAUAUAGAUAACAACUUUUGUUCAUUAUAGAAUCAUCUGAUCCAAAAAGAAAGACAACUUCGACGUUAGGAUCCAAUGAUCAUACAAGAUGAAUUUUGAGUAAUUUUAUGGGUCUAUCCAAUCUUAGUACUUCUUGACCUUCCUCACCUCUGUACGUAAACAACUUCUUCAACAUAGAAAACAUUCUCAUUAAUGAAAAACUCUUCCGUAAGACCAUCAAAAUCUCCACACAUCACCAUUGGAGUAGUGUAUCAACGGACACAAUUGCCUCCAACGCAGAUUCUGUGGCUGAAUACUCUUUGCCCAUCAGCACCAUUGGCAAAGGCGGACCGACUGGACAGGAGAACUUCCUCCCCGGCUGAAAAUUUUAUUGUAUUAUUUGAGUUUGAGAAAAGAAGUUAGGGCCGUGCUUAGAUACUUCACAAUAUUCAUUCUCAUUUCUUAAACCCUCAAAUAAACAUAUCGUUAAUUAAUAUUUUUAUUAUCUUAAAAGGUAAGAAAAUAACACAAAAUUUAAAUUAAUUUUUUACUUCACAAUAUUCAAACUGGAACGGCUAGCAAAAGGAGUUAUUUUAAAAACUGCUUAACCAAGGGUCCAAGACCAUGGGCCAAAAAAUUGUAACUUGUAACUUCAAAUGAAUAGAUUAAAAAAAAAAAAAAAUCCUGUGCUAUAGGAAACAUUUGGAACUCGCAAAUUAAAUAUUCACUGCGGUCCAAAUUUCUUAAAUCUCUGUUUUAAGACGUCGUCGCUGAAAUAAUCAUUCGCUCUGUUUUCUGUUUUCUUUUUUUCUUUUUUAAAGUGUCAAUAGAUCAUUAGAUCUGUAUAAAAAAGGGUAAUUUUUAAAAACCUCCCCUGAGGUUUGGACUUGUUGCAAGUAGAUGGCGAGAAUUGAUUUAUUUAUAAAAAACUCUCUACUGUCAGUUAAUUUUAACAUUGACCGUUAGUUGACUGUGCAAAGACAAUAUUACCCUUAACAAUAGUUUGCAAACGGAAAUA
rnacentral:lncRNA from 1 species